rnacentral:lncRNA from 1 species
CAGCACGUUGCCAGGCAAUGAGCCAAGACCGAGGGCUCAGACAAAAGACAGAGCGGCCGACUGGGCUCAGCGGACACACAGCGCAGAGCCAGCUGCUGGCUGGGAGGACGCCCUGCAGCCUCGCAGGGAACGUGGGCUCCGGCUUCCAGAGGGCAGCGCCAUUCGCUCACAGACGGCCAGGAGACCCUCCCUGUGCAGGCAAUGCCGGGUGAGGCAUCGCUCCUGAAGAAUUAAUCAGAAACUCAGAAAAAUUCCGCCGAGCAGAAGCCAGAUGAGAAUCCGACUGGAAAUCUAGAAGGAAUCUGACCAGCAUCGCAAAGAAGGGGAGGAGCUGAGUGGGAAGGCAGCCUCAGGGAGCUUCCCCGGAAAGAUGGGCCUGCUCAUUCCAUCCCCGACAGGACUGUCAGUCAUUUCACAACCACGGCUGCUGAUGAAGACAAUCAAACAGCAGCAACCUUCUGAGGUCAAGACAGUGCUGGGCGUCUCUCGGAGUCACUCCCCUAUCUUUUCGUCUGUUCUCUCAGGACAGCUUGGUGACGUUGCUAAGGAAGGAAUUUGUGAAAAUGAGGAAGCGGCCCCAGAAUCCUUGUUGUUUUUCCCCAAACCUGGCUACUGGUGGUCAGAGUGACCUUGAGGUGCCUCACAGGGUUGUUCCAGGUGGCCCAGGUCUGCACCCUCUGACCCAUGGCCGACCAUCUCCAUGGCCUGUAAAGGUGCUUCUCUUAGGUGCCACCCAAGUGCCACGGCAGUGUCAGAGGGAGGCCCAUAGCCAGCCUCCUGAGUCAGAGCCUUUGGGCUGGGACCGGGGCAAGCACAUUUUUAGAAAGUUCCUCCAGGACACGUUUGGUGGAGCUCAUCCAUAAUGCUCUCUGGACAACCUUUGGACUAAGUAACUUUCCUAAAGUCUCUCAACUCAGUGGCCACCACCUUAGAACUGGGAACUGUCCCUCAAUGCCCACUCAGGACCUCACUAUAGGAAGAAAAAAAAAGUAAAGCAACCUCGCAGGUAUCUUUGCUGGUUAACAUCAUAGAGUAUGAAGGGUAUCUUGAUGUGAUCCAUUUUAAGCUACAAAGUUUCUUACAGUCAUACUCAAAACUGGCAAAAUACAGGACAUCAUACACAUUUUCAUAUUUUAUUCUAAUGUUUAUUCUGAGGUCAACAAUAUAAAUUAGUUUCUGAGAUGCGCAGAUAAAUUAAAAUUCCAUGCAGGUGACCAUAGACAUACCCCUACUAUGUGUAUCUGUCUAAACUAUAACCGGAGAGGACUACAAUUAAUCCCUUAAGCCCUUUAUCUUCUUUUCGUCUCCUGCUUGGUUCUACGUAAACACCUUUGCUGAACUGGAAGAUCCAACCAACUUAUACGAGCUUCUUGGAUGCGAAUGAAAACCUCGUGAAUUGCCCAGCAAGUUGACAUUCCUUUCUAGAUCCAGCACAUACAACUCUCUCCAGGUGAGCACAAAGAAAGAAGAGAUUUGAAGUCAGCGAGGUGCGUUUUAUUGGUUCAAAAGGGGAGGUUAUUUUUUAAAGGCUUAUGGAAAAAGGUAGCUAUGUUUGUUCUCUCAAAUAAUCACAUAAAGACCCUGCUAACAUUUCUGGUACAACAACCCUGCCGUGGUUAAUUUCCAGACAAUGAAAGGUGAGAAGGCUGGAAAGGAAACCGAAUCCUGCAGUGUCUAAUCAAUUUUAAUAGAAUCCGCUAAUUGAAUCAUCCACAUCCUUUAAAAAGAGACAUGGAAAUCAUGGAAGCAAGCCUCUGUUUUGGUGCAUUCUUCAUCCCUCAUGGCAUGUCAAAAAAAUUGAAUUUCUCACAGUGGAGAAAGAGUCUGUCAAAGUUAACUUUACCUGGAACUAAUAAAUUAUUAUAUUUCAUCCAAAGGGUUUCCAAUAAGUAGUUAUUCAAAGACUCAAUUUUUCAAUUAAUGUCUCCAAAUGCUUUUCUGAUCAUAAUUUUCCUAGUACAUUUUCAUGUUUGCUUCUCACUAUUGUCUUUGUGAGGAGUGUUGGAAAUUCCCAAGCUGGGGCAACCCCCAGGCUUCUCCCUCCAACCCCUCUCUCACUUGGACUCAGGCUUCCCCAGGGAGCAGACUCAGGGCGCACUGAGGGCAGGAGGAGAUGCUGGCAGCCCCUCAGGGUGGAGGCCACCCUGGAACCUUGACCUAGGGAGUCAGUAGUCUGUGGUGUCAGAAGGUGGCAUUAGAUCAGAGGGCUCAGGAAUCCAUAGUCAAG